GACGAACGCUGGCGGCGUGCUUAACACAUGCAAGUCGAGCGGUAAGGCCCUUUCGGGGGUACGACGAGCGGCGAACGGGUGAGUAACACGUGGGUGACCUGCCCUUAGCUCUGGGAUAAGCCUGGGAAACUGGGUCUAAUACCGGAUAUGACUCCAUAACGCAUGUUGUGGGGUGGAAAGCCUUGUGCGGCUAGGGAUGGGCCCGCGGCCUAUCAGCUUGUUGGUGGGGUGAUGGCCUACCAAGGCGACGACGGGUAGCCGGCCUGAGAGGGCGACCGGCCACACUGGGACUGAGACACGGCCCAGACUCCUACGGGAGGCAGCAGUGGGGAAUCUUGCGCAAUGGGCGAAAGCCUGACGCAGCGACGCCGCGUGGGGAUGACGGCCU
rnacentral:rRNA from 1 species